CGGCAGCUUACACAUGCAGUCGAGCGGUAACAGGGGGUGCUUGCACCCCGCUGACGAGCGGCGGACGGGUGAGUAAUGCAUAGGAAUCUGCCCAGUAGUGGGGGAUAGCCCGGGGAAACCCGGAUUAAUACCGCAUACGCCCUUUGGGGGAAAGCAGGGGAUCUUCGGACCUUGCGCUAUUGGAUGAGCCUAUGUCGGAUUAGCUAGUUGGUGGGGUAAAGGCCUACCAAGGCGACGAUCCGUAGCUGGUCUGAGAGGAUGAUCAGCCACAUCGGGACUGAGACACGGCCCGAACUCCUACGGGAGGCAGCAGUGGGGAAUAUUGGACAAUGGGGGCAACCCUGAUCCAGCCAUGCCGCGUGUGUGAAGAAGGCUUUCGGGUUGUAAAGCACUUUCAGUGAGGAGGAAAACCUUCUGGUUAAUACCCAUGAGGCUUGACGUUACUCACAGAAGAAGCACCGGCUAACUCCGUGCCAGCAGCCGCGGUAAUACGGAGGGUGCAAGCGUUAAUCGGAAUUACUGGGCGUAAAGCGCGCGUAGGUGGUUUGAUAAGCGAGAUGUGAAAGCCCCGGGCUUAACCUGGGAACGGCAUUUCGA
rnacentral:rRNA from 1 species